rnacentral:misc_RNA from 1 species
AAACCCACUCAAGCUCUUUGGCUUGGUUAUGGGGGUUGAGGUACGUCCUUUGGCGACCUCACCCUCGAAAUUCAGAGGCGGAUUGCCCAUUGUUGCCCUGGCGUUAUAAGUUUGCUCUUUCGCUUGGAUUUCAUGGUCGUCUUGCCACAAACCUUUUUUCUUUUA